rnacentral:rRNA from 1 species
UCAUACGUAGGACCCAAGCGUUAUCCGGAUUGACUGGGCGUAAAGAGUUGCGUAGGUGGUAAAUCAAGCGAAUAGUGAAAUCUUGUGGCUCAACCAUAAGGCUAUUAUUCGAACUGAUUUACUCGAGAAUGGGAGAGGCAUCUGGAAUUUCCAAUGUAGGGGUAAUAUCCGUAGAUAUUGGGAGGAACACCGAUGGCGUAAGCAGGAUGCUGGACCAUUUCUGACACUAAGGCACGAAAGCGUGGGGAGCGAACAGGAUUAGAUACCCUGGUAGUCCACGCCGUAAACUAUGAAUACUAGCUGUAUGCCGUAUCGACCCGGUAUGUAGCGAAGCUAACGCGUUAAGUAUUCCGCCUGGGGAGUACGGUCGCAAGACUA